GUAUCAGUGGCGGAAUAGGUAGACGCAUAGUAUUACAACAGCUUGCGUGGUAAAGUACACGAAGAGUAUGGCGAGAUGCAUUUCGACUGGUGCAUUAUGCAAGGUUCAAAUCCUUGCCUGAUACA
rnacentral:tRNA from 1 species